UCCAGACUCCUACGGGAGGCAGCAGUGGGGGAUAUUGCACGAUGGGGGAAACCCUGAUGCAGCGACGCCGCGUGAGUGAAGAAGUAUUUCGGUAUGUAAAGCUCUAUCAGCAGGGAAGAAAAAAGACGGUACCUGACUAAGAAGCCCCGGCUAACUACGUGCCAGCAGCCGCGGUAAUACGUAGGGGGCAAGCGUUAUCCGGAUUUACUGGGUGUAAAGGGGGCGCAGACGGCGAUGCAAGCCAGGAGUGAAAGCCCGGGGCCCAACCCCGGGACUGCUCUUGGAACUGCGUGGCUGGAGUGCAGGAGGGGCAGGCGGAAUUCCUGGUGUAGCGGUGAAAUGCGUAGAUAUUAGGAGGAACACCAGUGGCGAAGGCGGCCUGCUGGACUGCAACUGACGUUGAGGCUCGAAGGCGUGGGGAGCAAACAGGAUUAGAUACCCCGGUAA
rnacentral:rRNA from 1 species